rnacentral:sRNA from 2 species
CGCACUCAACCACUUACGUACGGCAGGAGCGGGGGACCCAGGUAAGUCGCCGAUCCGGCAUCACCGGACCGGCUUGGGGUGAAGUCACGCCUUCCGGCACGACCGGGCAUCUCCCGCCCGAACCCGACAGCUCACCUCGCAGGCGACGGAGAGGACCU